CACUUGGAAACAGGGUGCUAAUACCGCAUAACCAUAGUUACCGCAUGGUAACUAUGUAAAAGGUGGCUAUGCUACCGCUUUUGGAUGGGCCCGCGGCGCAUUAGCUUGUUGGUGGGGUAAAGGCUUACCAAGGCAAUGAUGCGUAGCCGAACUGAGAGGUUGAUCGGCCACAUUGGGACUGAGACACGGCCCAAACUCCUACGGGAGGCAGCAGUAGGGAAUCUUCCACAAUGGGCGAAAGCCUGAUGGAGCAACGCCGCGUGGGUGAAGAAGGUCUUCGGAUCGUAAAACCCUGUUGUUAGAGAAGAAAGUGCGUGAGAGUAACUGUUCACGUUUCGACGGUAUCUAACCAGAAAGCCACGGCUAACUACGUGCCAGCAGCCGCGGUAAUACGUAGGUGGCAAGCGUUAUCCGGACUUAUUGGGCGUAAAGGGAACGCAGGCGGUCUUUUAAGUCUGAUGUGAAAGCCUUCGGCUUAACCGGAGUAGUGCAUUGGAAACUGGGAGACUUGAGUGCAGAAGAGGAGAGUGGAACUCCAUGUGUAGCGGUGAAAUGCGUAGAUAUAUGGAAGAACACCAGUGGCGAAAGCGGCUCUCUGGUCUGUAACUGACGCUGAGGUUCGAAAGCGUGGGUAGCAAACAGGAUUAGAUACCCUGGUAGUCCACGCCGUUAACGAUGAAUGCUAAGUGUUGGAGAGUUUCCGCCCUUCAGUGCUGCAGCUAAC
rnacentral:rRNA from 1 species